GUGGGGAAUAUUGGGCAAUGGGCGAAAGCCUGACCCAGCAACGCCGCGUGAAGGAAGAAGGUUUUCGGAUCGUAAACUUCUAUCCUUGGUGAAGAUAAUGACGGUAGCCAAGAAGGAAGCCCCGGCUAACUACGUGCCAGCAGCCGCGGUAAUACGUAGGGGGCAAGCGUUGUCCGGAAUGAUUGGGCGUAAAGGGCGCGUAGGCGGCCCGGUAAGUCUGAAGUGAAAGUCCUGCUUUUAAGGUGGGAAUUGCUUUGGAUACUGUCGGGCUUGAGUGCAGGAGAGGUAAGCGGAAUUCCCGGUGUAGCGGUGAAAUGCGUAGAGAUCGGGAGGAACACCAGUGGCGAAGGCGGCUUACUGGACUGUAACUGACGCUGAGGCGCGAAAGUGAGGGGAGCAAACAGGAUUAGAUACCCCGGUAGUCC
rnacentral:rRNA from 1 species